GCUGGUGUGGCAGAGCCUGGUAAAUGCAAAAGGCCUAAGCCCUUUCCUACAGAGGUUCAAAUCCUCUCCCCAGCC
rnacentral:tRNA from 1 species